AUGCAAGUCGAGCGGUAGAGAGGAGCUUGCUUCUCUUGAGAGCGGCGGACGGGUGAGUAAUGCCUAGGAAUCUGCCUAGUGGUGGGGGAUAACGUUCGGAAACGGACGCUAAUACCGCAUACGUCCUACGGGAGAAAGCGGGGGACCUUCGGGCCUCGCGCCAUUAGAUGAGCCUAGGUCGGAUUAGCUAGUUGGUGAGGUAACGGCUCACCAAGGCGACGAUCCGUAACUGGUCUGAGAGGAUGAUCAGUCACACUGGAACUGAGACACGGUCCAGACUCCUACGGGAGGCAGCAGUGGGGAAUAUUGGACAAUGGGCGAAAGCCUGAUCCAGCCAUGCCGCGUGUGUGAAGAAGGUCUUCGGAUUGUAAAGCACUUUAAGUUGGGAGGAAGGGCAGUAACUUAAUACGUUGCUGUUUUGACGUUACCGACAGAAUAAGCACCGGCUAACUCUGUGCCAGCAGCCGCGGUAAUACAGAGGGUGCAAGCGUUAAUCGGAAUUACUGGGCGUAAAGCGCGCGUAGGUGGUUUGUUAAGUUGGAUGUGAAAGCCCCGGGCUCAACCUGGGAACUGCAUCCAAAACUGGCAAGCUAGAGUACGGUAGAGGGUGGUGGAAUUUCCUGUGUAGCGGUGAAAUGCGUAGAUAUAGGAAGGAACACCAGUGGCGAAGGCGACCACCUGGACUGAUACUGACA
rnacentral:rRNA from 1 species